GUGCUCACUUCAGCAGCAUGUAUGGAACACUGGAACGAUACAGAGAUUAGCAUAGCCCCUGCGCAAGGGUGACACGCAAAAUUUGUGAAGCAUUCCAAUUUUUA
rfam:Gavia stellata contig16608, whole genome shotgun sequence.